CUAUUUAAUUUAAUGUAAAUUAAUUCAGAAAGUAUUAAACCUUUACAAUAAAAGAUAAGGUCUUAUCUCCAAUCAGGUCUGGGCAAUUAUGUGCCAGCACCAGCGGUCACACAUACAGGCCAAGUCAUUUACUAUCAGGUUACACUUACUGUGUGUAUAAUGGGAGGUCAGGGGUUAAAUCCGUAACCUCUGUUCAUGAAUUAUGAUUGUUUAUUCUUUUUAGUGAUAAAUUUAAAUAUUAAACUAGGAUUAGAUACCCUACUAUUGUAAACUUAAUUAUCUAUACAACUUAGAGAGUAACAGUUAGAGUCUCUAAAUCUAGGUCGAAUGGCAGUUAAAUACCUAUUCAGAGGCCCAUGCCGCUAAUCGAUGUCACACGAAGAUCUUACCUUUUCUUAAAUCUUGUACACCGCUGUCGGAAGGUGAUAGCGUAUUUACUCACCCAAUCCCGUUUAAGGGGAUAAGUCAAGUCAAGGUGCAGCCUAUGAAGAGGCCACAGUGUGGGUUAUAGAUUAGAUUAACUACUCUUUUAAUGAGUAAAUAGUUCCAAAUUUGAUAGUAAUUAUCGUUAUUUAAUCAAAAUAUCUUAAAAAAGUCAUAUUUUGUGUACAAAUCGCCCGUCACUCCGUAUAAUAGCGGAUAAGUCGUAACAUAGUUGUCCUACUGGAAAGUGGGACAAGUUAUUCUUUA
rnacentral:rRNA from 1 species